CCCUUGGAAGCCCCGCCAACA
rnacentral:tRNA from 1 species